UGCUAAAGUGGCUCCUGCCUGACGUGAGAACCCCUGGGCUGGAUCUGUGCUGUAACCCUCGAUGGCCUCCAAGGCUCUCCUGACCUGUACCCACACUCUGUGCUGAUCAUCAGGAGGCCCCUUUGCUGGGAAGUCUGAUUUCCCUUUUCACUUGUCCAUCUGCUGGGCUCUCCUAGCAAGACUCCCCAUGGCUAUCUGGGCCAGAGAUGAGACAGAGAGGUAAAGAAUGACGGACUUUGAGAGAUUGGUCUCACGGAAAAAGAGGCAGAGCACAGGCUGGGCACAGGUCGGGAUGACUCUUGCUCCUUCAAAAAAGCACAGAGGGGACUUCCUGACAUUUGCUGAGAGGCUGAGAGAACUGCAUCCAACUGGAUUAUAAGCCCCGCAGAUCUCCUGGACAUCACUGUUUCCACGUCUGGGGAGCUAAUGGUGAUGAAAAGCAAUGCUGAGAAAAUGAUACCCAGGUCGUCAGCACCUUCCCCCAAAGAAAGUAAGAUCCUCUGGCUCUGCCAUCUUCUCACAGUAUUCCUGAG
rnacentral:lncRNA from 1 species